CAAUAGUACUUGAAAAUAAAAACAUACAGUAUUUCAGUAUUUGCACAUGAUGAGCUUGCUGCCUGAUGACUGCAUGCACACGGUCUAGCUCAGCCAGUAAACCCCAUAAAAGUCCAUAAUUUCUGGCUGAGCUACAGCAUAUUUUUUACAGAGACAUUUCUAUCUUGACUUUCAAAGACAGGGAAAUCCAUCAGGUCCUCAGGUUCAUUUCCACACUGCUUAACUCCCCACACUAUCAAAUCUGCUCCUCGUUGCUGCUUUAAAACUGCUCAAAGUUCCUGAUCCCAGCAGCCAAGCCUUGUUUUCCUUUUGUAUCCCAAAUCAAAGCACUCUCUGCUAUCAGUAGCCAUCCUUCUGCCCAGGUGUUUUAUAUGCUGUAAUCAGCACACUCCUCAGCUGAAAUCUGGGGGAGGAAGUUAGCCAGGUCUAAUUGGUCCUAAAUGUCUGCAGAUGUGUUCUAAGUGUUGUCCCGAGCUGCUUGUUACAGACUGUCCUGAAGGACGUGGAGGAAAACUGGUUGUCUGAGUAGCAGACAACAAUACAUGGAUACGAGGCAUGUCAGUCAUCAGGAGAAGUUUGUGACUAGGUUUUUUCUACCACCCUCUGAUAGACCUGACAGACAAAGGAUGAAAGACUUGUUUUCUUUCUGCACUUCCCCCAUGCCGUAACUGGAGGCACCUCACAGGCUUGCCCUGGUCACCCUGUGUGUCACUCACCUGCUUCACAGCUCUUCGUGGUCACAGCACACAUGGGCCCAGGGAGAGGAGUCUCUUUUCAUCUGUACUUUGAGGCCUCUAAUAGGCACUCAGGCAAUGUGAAAGGAGCUUUAAUAAUUAAUCAUGGCAAUUCAGACACACAGAUGCCAGGGAUUUAUUCUGGCUUCAGAUAUUUGGUCAUCUGUAGGAUGAAGCUGAUUCCCCUGCCGUCUGCACUGAGUUCUGGCCCAGGACACCACUGUUGUGUCCGAAUGGUGUUUACCGGCUUGGAGCCUUUUAGUUCAGCAGUAGACGUCUUCCUGUAUGCUUUGAAAUAUCCUGAUCACACUGUAUGUUUUGUAAUUCUGUCUACAUUAACAAAUCACAGUUCAGUUAUUAAAACUCAUUACAGUGAACUAAAAUUAAUGUUCUCAUAUUCUGUUUUAUUAUACUUUUUGGUCGCAGUAUCUUCCCCUGCAUGGACAGAAUUCAGUAUCUUAGCAGCUUCAAGUAAUUGCCACUAUUUUUGG